AGGGUUGUAGCUCAGUGGUAGAGCAUCUGCUUUGCAUGCAGAAGGUGCCACGUUCAAUUCCCAGCAUCUCCA